AUGACCUCGUUUUUCCUGUUUGACGAUUUCUUUUUCCAGUUUUAACGGACGAUUUUAUGGCUUGAAUCAUCACAAAUUAAAGGGUGAAGUCCCACAAUCUGUGUUACAACCAAGACAUGUCGGAGACAAAGCAGCCAGAAAUGACCCUAAACACUCAGCAUGGGAGCAGUGAUCAGCCAGCAAUCAUUGUAUAAAGUCAGGCUUGGGGAUCUCCAUUGCAACUACCCGUCACCAAGUAGAUGUCCAAGAACAGCCUCUGAUACAAGAGCUUCACUCUCCAGUAAAAGAAGUUCCUACAACCAAGAAUGGAGGGAAUCAACCCUACUGACAUCUUGAAAGGCUGCAUGGUACAAAGGAAGCAACGCGUAUAAAAAAAAUCUGUAUCAUCAACACAUCCUAGGAUUUCAUCUGUGUAAC